UUACUCCUACCGGGAGGCAGCAGUAGGGAAUCUUCCGCAAUGGGCGAAAGCCUGACGGAGCAACGCCGCGUGAGUGAAGAAGGUUUUCGGAUCGUAAAGCUCUGUUGCCAGGGAAGAACGCUUGGGAGAGUAACUGCUCCCAAGGUGACGGUACCUGAGAAGAAAGCCCCGGCUAACUACGUGCCAGCAGCCGCGGUAAUACGUAGGGGGCAAGCGUUGUCCGGAAUUAUUGGGCGUAAAGCGCGCGCAGGCGGCUGAUUAAGUUCGGUGUUUAAUCCUGGGGCUCAACCCCAGGUCGCACUGGAAACUGGUUGGCUGAGGCAGAAGAGAAACGAUCCCUC
rnacentral:rRNA from 2 species